GCCAUAUUUUGAUAUGAUUCCAACUGUAGCUGAUAACCUUAAAAAUUAUCUUAAAUAUAAACAACUUGAAAUAAAAAAAACACAGAAGAAAAAGGAAUAUAUAUGCUACUAAGGGCAUGAAUAUUUGGCCCAUACAAGUGGUAAAAAGGCCGUUUACCUUACUUGUCGCAAAAGAUGUGGUGGUAGAGCCAAAUUAAUGAUUGGUCUCGAUUUAAUUAUCACCAUCCAACAUUCUUUAGAAUGUCAAAACUUGAUAGCAGCCAUAACUCCUAAUGCAAAUCAAGCAUUAGCAUUAGCCCCUCCACCUUCAAGUUCAGUUGCCCUGGCCAUUACACAUCAAGCCCAAGUUUCAAUAGCCCUUCAAACUUCUAAUGCAUAUCAAGAUUUAGCAUUAGCCCCUCCACCUUCAAGUUCAGUUGCCCUAGCCAUUACACAUCAAGCCCAAGUUGCCCCUCAAACUUCUAAUGCAAAUCAAGAUUUAGCAUUAGCCCCUCCACCUUCAAGUUCAGUUGCCCUAGCCACACAUCAAGCCCAAGUUUCAAUAGCCCCUCAAACUUCUAAUGCAAAUCAAGAUAUAGCAUUAGCCCCUCCACCUUCAAGUUCAGUUGCCCUAGCCAUUACACAUCAAGCCCAAGUUUCAAUAGCCCCUAAAACUUCUAAUGCAAAUCAAGAUUUAGCAUUAGCCCCUCUACCUCCAAGUUCAUUUGCCCUAGCCUUACAUAUCAAGCUCCACAAAUUACAAAUUUUACAUUAGCCCCUCAAACUUCUGGUUUUGCCAUAGCCUUUCAAACUUUUAUCUCAAAUCAAAAUAAUUCAGGUAAUUGUGAUCUCCCUUUAGAAGUAGCCAAUGUGUUAAUAGAUUUACAUCAAAAUAUUAGUGAUCCUCAAUUUAUAAAAUGUCAAAAAGGAAAACUACUUCUCUUUUUCCAAAAUUAUUUAUAUCGAUAUGCUUAUCAAAAAGAUGAUAGAAUACACUAUCGUUGCAGAAAGGUUGGCUGCAAGGCUUCAUGUAAAUUUGAUGGAAUUUACACAACCUCUGGUUUGCAUGAACACCAAAAUGAAAUCGUUCAGUUUGAAAAACUGAGAACUCACAAGGUUCUAGAGGAUAUUGUUGCCGAAAAUCCUCUAGAGACAAGGCACAAUAUUUAUAAAAAGGCCUUGAAUAAAAGAUGCCUGGAAACGCCCUCCAUCGAAAUGUAUCCAGAGGCAAUGCCCUCAUUUGUUUCAAUUAAGAGUACAAUUGACAGAUUGUUACAAAAAAAUCGGCCCAUUUUGCCUCAAUCUGUGGAUGAACUAGUAUUAUUACCAGAAUACAUCACCACAAAUAAGGGGGAGAAUUUUUAAAUUAAUAAUGAUAAUAAUAAUAUGCUGGUGUUUAAUACAUGUGAAAUGCUAAAACUUGUAGAAAUAUGUGAUGGUGAUAGCAUUUACAUGGACGGCACCUUUUAUGUCGUUCCUCGACUGUACUGUCAAUUGUAUAGUAUCCAUAUAAUGUAUCAAGAAGUUAUGAUACCGAUUAUAUAUGCCCUCCUCCCCGAUAAAAAUAGAGGGACAUAUAUUGAAUUAUUUCAAAUUAUCUUGCAAUUUUGCUCGAUGAAAAAUAUCCGAUUCAAACCUCGAUUUGGACAAACUGAUUACGAGGCCGCAGGUAUAUCGGCGCUUAGGUUUGUUUUUCCCAAUAUGUUCAUAAAAGGCUGUUUUUUUCACUAUUCCCAGGCUCUUUGGCGUAAAUGUCCGGCGCUGGGUUUAGUUAGCAGUUAUUUGCAUAAUACUACUAUUCAUCAAGUUGUUAGACGAAUGACCACUUUGUCAUUUUGCAAAGAAGAACAUAUUUCCGAGGUACGGGCAUCAUGCCAUGCUCUGUCUGCUGAAUAUCCUUUGCUCAAAAAUUUUAUGGAUUUUACAUGGCUCGGAGUUAAUGCCAUAUUCCCCCGAAAUAUAUGGACCAGGUAUCAAGUUGACGGCCCUAGAACUAACAACCACCUGGAUGGGUAUCAUCAUGCCCUCAAGAGAAAAACAAACGUGGCUCAUCCGAAUAUUUAUUGUCUGAUAAAUAUUUUAAAAAGACACCAACAUUCGAGUGCGCUUAAGGUCUUACAAAUUAAUAGUGGGUUGAACGUGAGGAGAAAAAAUAAAAAAUUCGAUCAAUUAAAUAUUAACAUUGAUAAUCUAACUCGUAUAUACGAGCGUACAAAUGAAAUAUAUCAUUUUUUAGAUAAUGUUUCAUAUUUUA